GGCGCGGGAGGGGCGCAGUGCCUGCUGAGCACCCUCCCGAGCGCGAUCUCCGGCCUGCUCGCCAUGGGCGACCACGACGUCUCCCCGAACCCCAAGGGCUCCUUCCGAAAGUUCCUGGAGCAACUCUCCGGGGCCGGCAAAGCCAUAGGCGUGCUGACCAGCGGCGGGGAUGCCCAAGGCAUGAAUGCUGCUGUCCGAGCUGUCGUGCGCAUGGGAAUAUACGUGGGGGCCAAAGUGUACUUUAUCUACGAGGGUUACCAGGGCAUGGUGGAUGGUGGCAGCAACAUUGUGGAAGCCGACUGGGAAAGUGUCUCCAGCAUCCUGCAAGUGGGAGGGACCAUUAUUGGCAGCGCCCGUUGCAAGGACUUCCGUUCUCGGGAAGGCCGCUUGAAGGCUGCUCAUAACUUGCUUCAGCUGGGCAUCACCAACCUGUGUGUGAUCGGCGGGGACGGGAGUCUCACCGGGGCCAAUAUCUUCCGGAAGGAGUGGAGUGGGCUGCUGGAGGAGCUGGCCCGGGAGGGCAAGAUCAACACGGAGGAGGUGCAGAAGCACGGGUACCUCAACGUGGUGGGGAUGGUGGGCUCCAUCGACAACGACUUCUGCGGCACCGACAUGACCAUCGGCACGGACUCUGCCCUGCACCGCAUCAUCGAGGUGGUGGACGCCAUCAUGACGACUGCCCAGAGCCACCAGAGGACCUUCGUCCUGGAAGUCAUGGGGAGGCACUGCGGGUACCUGGCCCUGGUGAGUGCGUUGGCCUGUGGGGCCGACUGGGUGUUCCUUCCAGAAUCUCCACCAGAAGAAGGUUGGCAGGAAAACAUGUGCAUCAAACUCUCAGAGAACCGUGCCCGGAAAAAGAGACUGAACAUCAUCAUUGUGGCCGAAGGAGCCAUUGACACCCAAAACAGAGCCAUCACCUCUGAGCAAAUCAAGGAGCUCGUGGUCACACAGCUGGGUUAUGACACUCGGGUGACCAUCCUUGGACACGUGCAGAGAGGUGGGACGCCUUCAGCCUUUGACAGGAUUUUGGCCAGCCGCAUGGGGGUGGAGGCCGUGGUCGCCCUCCUCCAGGCCACCCCCGAGACCCCGGCCUGCGUGGUGUCGCUGAGCGGGAACCAGGCGGUGCGGCUGCCACUGAUGGAAUGCGUGCAGAUGACCCAGGAAGUACAAAAGGCGAUGGAUGAGAGGAGAUUUAAGGACGCUGUGCAACUCCGAGGAAGGAGCUUUGAGAACAACCUGAACACCUACAAGCGGCUCGCCAUCAAGCUGCCAGACUCCCAGAUCCGUAAGAGCAACUGCAAUGUGGGCAUCGUGAACGUGGGUGCGCCCGCCGCCGGCAUGAACGCGGCCGUGCGCGCGGCCGUGCGCGUGGGCAUCUCCGACGGACACAAGGUGUUCGCUGUGUACGACGGCUUUGAGGGCUUCGCCAAAGGCCAGGUAAAGGAAUUUGGCUGGGCAGAUGUCGGCGGCUGGACCGGCCAAGGCGGCUCCAUUCUUGGGACAAAACGCACCCUCCCCGGGAAGUACCUGGAGGACAUCGCUGCUCAGAUGCACACCCAUGGCAUCAACGCGCUCUUGAUCAUCGGUGGAUUCGAGGCCUACCUGGGACUGUUGGAGCUGUCGGCCGCCCGGGAGAAGCACAAGGAGUUCUGCGUCCCCAUGGUCAUGGUUCCCGCCACCGUCUCCAACAACGUGCCCGGCUCCGAUUUCAGCAUCGGGGCAGACACCGCCCUCAACACCAUCACCGACACGUGUGACCGCAUCAAGCAGUCGGCCAGCGGGACCAAGCGCCGCGUCUUCAUCAUCGAGACCAUGGGGGGCUACUGCGGCUACCUGGCCAACAUGGGGGCGCUGGCUGCCGGCGCCGAUGCCGCCUACAUCUUCGAGGAGCCUUUCGACAUCCGGGACCUGCAGUCCAACGUGGAGCACCUGACGGAGAAGAUGAAGACCACCAUCCAGAGGGGACUCGUGCUCAGGAACGAGAGCUGCAGUGAAAACUACACCACCGACUUCAUCUACCAGCUCUACUCAGAGGAGGGCAAGGGGGUGUUCGACUGCAGGAAGAACGUGCUGGGUCACAUGCAGCAGGGUGGGGCGCCUUCUCCAUUUGAUAGAAACUUUGGAACCAAAAUCUCCGCCAGAGCCAUGCAGUGGAUCAGCACGAAGCUGAAGGAGCCGGCGGGGAGAGGAAAAAGAUUUGUAAGUGAUGAUUCCGUCUGUGUGCUGGGAAUAAGCAAAAGAAACCUGCUCUUCCAGCCCGUGGCCGAGCUGAAGGAGGAGACGGACUUCGUGCACAGGAUCCCCAAGGAGCAGUGGUGGCUGAAGCUGCGGCCCCUCAUGAAGAUCCUGGCCAAGUACAAGGCCAGCUUCGAGGUGUCGGACGCGGGCCAGCUAGAGCCCAUGCAGCCUCGUGGGCCCGAGGAGCCUGCCACCAUCUAGACGCCCCACCUGCCCAUUUUGUAACGUUUAAGUUAUUUAUGAGCACUUUACGUGAGCAUCGUCCAAGUGAACCCUGAGCGCGGCCCACCUUCCCCGUCCCCUGGCCCCCCGCACGGGGUGUCAGCUGUGCUGUCUUGUGUGUCCUGCUUCACAAACUGGCUCCCGCAGAAUUAAAUGUUUGCUAAAAGCCAACCACAGUGCCCGGUUUCUUUGUUUUCUAAGUGGGAGUUGAAAACCUCAGGGUGUGAGUGGCUCUCAGGGUUUUGUCGGCAGAUACAGGCACAUGUUUUCUAGAGAACUGGGGAGCCAGGAGACAGGCAAGGACAGAGGCACCCGGAGGAAAGAGGUGUCACUCUGACUGGCAGGCGCGUGGGUGACUCACCAAGUGCACCGGGAGGGCCCUGGACCAGGGCGCCAGGAGGCGGAGGAGGGGAUUCAGUUCCUUUCAAGGCAGGGCCGGCAGUUUCCUUUCUGUCCGACAGCCUGACCGGGUGGAGGAGUCAGAUCCCGGAGUCAGAGUUGAUGCUGUUCCCCAGCCCCACGUCCUCCAGGCCUGUCCACCGCAGCCGCGG